GCCUGGUUCAGUCAGUAGAACAUAAGACUCUUGAUCUCAGGAUUGUGAGUUCAAGCCCCACAAUGGGCA
rnacentral:tRNA from 1 species